UAUGGACCAAGUGAUGGGAGCAUCUCACGGGCGGCGGCCCUCACUUCAAGCUCGAUGAACUUAGCUUAAACAUGCUCUUGCACUGGCAUGGUCGUGAUAGGUUUGUCAUCUGGGCGAUUGCCCGUGUUCGUGAGGUUGCUGUGAUUUUUCACUAUAGGAAUUGAUAGCUUGACAGGUUAUUUGGCUUAGCCUAUGUUGUGUUGUUGCUUGUUUGUCUGAUCCCUAUCAUGCUGAUGUUUCAUACCAUGAUAGAUGUUUAUGGUUGUAAUAUUAUACCAUUGAUAGCUUUAGGAAAGGUGGUUGCUGAUUGAGAAAGUUGAGAGACAACUUACGGACACUAUAAUAGUUAGGAAUUUAUUGUUGGGACAAAAUUAUGUCGUUGUUUAUACACAUGCAUCAACUCUUCAUGUAGCUCACUACUUAUUCUAUGAUGAGAAUAACAACUGUAGAUAGAGUCAUUCAUCUUGCUUAUUUUCUAGAUGAAUAACUUCAUUAUGGGUCGUGUCAUCCGAGGCAAGUUGAU
rnacentral:lncRNA from 1 species